UUCUUCUGGACGUUGAUCUUUUAAGAAAGGAAAGAAGAACAAGAAGAACAAGAAAAUGGUGCAAAAUACUGGGGCACCCAAAUCCAGUCAGACCAAAAAAUCUAAGUCCGACCAGAGUCAGACAGAAUACUUCUACUGCAAGAAGUAGGGGCACUGAAAAAAAAAUUAUCUUCAAUACAUUGCCUCCCUGAAUCCGAACAGAC
rnacentral:lncRNA from 1 species